GUGCUUUUUGUUUUGUUUUGUUUUUGAGAUAGGGUUUCCUUUUGUUGCCCAGGCUGGAGUGCAGUGGCGCAAUCACAGCUCACUGCAGCCUUGACCUCCUGGGCUCAGACGAUCCACCUCAGCUUCCAGGAUAGCUGGGACUACAGGUGUGUGCCACUACACCUGGCUGAUUUUUUGUAUUUUUUUUUUUUUUUUGGCAGAGAUUGGAUUUCACUAUAUUGCCCCAGCCAGUCUCAAACACUUAGGCUCAAGUAAUUUGCCCACCUUGGACUUGCAAAAUUCUGGGAUUACAGCUGCAAAAUUCUGGGAUUACAGCUGGGAUUACUGUGCCAGGGCUGUGCUUCUUGAUUUAAUAAAAUUUGGCAUUUGUGAUCAUGCAGUGAUCGUGUAAGACAUCUCUACUGCUUCCUUCCAUGUUAAUGUGGUUUAGCUGUGUCCACACCUAAAUCUCAACUUGAAUUGUAUCUCCCAGAAUUCCCUAGUGUUGUGGGAGGGGCCCAGGGGGAGGUAAUUGAAUCAUGGGGGCUGCUCUUUCCUGUGCUGUUCUCGUGAUAACGAAUAAGUCCCACAAGAUCUGAUGGGUUUAUCACGGGUUUCCACGUUUGCUUUUUCCUCAUUUUCUCUUGCCACCGCCACAUAAGAAGUGCCUUUCACCCCCACUGCCCCCUGGCUUGAUUCUGAGGCCUCCCCAGCCAUGUGGAACCAUAACAUUUAUGGCUGUUUUGAAUUGAAACGUGGAUGCACUUUGGAGCUGAUUAACCUUCAUCCUAUGUCUAUCAUUAAAGGUGUGUAUUUCUUCUCUUCCUCCAAAUUAUUGGAGGAAGUCUAUGAACACAUUUCUAGGGUACUUACAAACAAUAGAGUCUUGGCUGGGUGCAGUGGCUCAUGCCUGUAAUUCCAGCAAUCUGGGAGGCAGAGGUAGAUUUAUUACCUGAGGUUGGGAGUUUGAGACCAGUCUGACCAUCAUGGUGAAACCCCACCUCUACUAAAAAUGCAAAAUUAGCUGGUCAUGGUGGCACGUGCCUGUAGUCCCAGCUACUUGGGAGGCUGAGGCAGGAGAAUUAUUUGA
rnacentral:lncRNA from 13 species